rnacentral:rRNA from 1 species
UACGGAGGGGGCUAGCGUUGUUCGGAAUUACUGGGCGUAAAGCGCACGUAGGCGGCUUUGUAAGUUAGAGGUGAAAGCCCAGGGCUUAACCCUGGAAUUGCCUUUAAGACUGCAUCGCUAGAAUCGUGGAGAGGUGAGUGGAAUUCCGAGUGUAGAGGUGGAAUGCGUAGAGAUCCGGAAGAACACCGGAGGCGAAGGCGGCUUGCUGGGCUCGGUCUGACGCUGAGGCGCGAAAGCGUGGGGAGCGAACAGG